CAGGCUGGCCUUCACUGGUAGCAAUCCUCCUGCCUCAGCCUCCUGAGUGCUUCGGUGACAGCCGUGCUCCACCAAGCUAAAGAAAGCUCUGUUCUUCAGCCUGCAUCUGAAAGCUGUCAGCAGCAUCUGCAGUUCCUCUCCGCUUGAAACUGUCAGCUCAGUCUUCUCACGCCCUGCACUUCCUGGCCUGGGCCCAACGGUGCCUGCUGAAUUAGUACAGUGGUGUCUCACGUGUCUCCUGGGUUCUGGCCCCAACCCACCUAAGAUCAGGUCCUCCUAUGUAGCCCAGGUUGGCCUCCAACUCAAGAUCCUACUGCCUCAGCCUCUUGGGUGUUGGGAUUACAGGUGUGCGCCACCACGCGAGGCUGAUGACUUCAAUUCUUGGAACAAGGCACCAAGCCCACCGUUCGGGCCCAGAGUCCUCUCACAGCGGUGGAGCCCAGGAGCUCAGGGCAGGACCGCAGCACCCCACGGCCAGAUCCCAGGAAGCCUUACCGGCCGUCCA